GUGCUCUGCACUUGCAUAGUUUCUAAUGAUUCUUCUGUGUAGCUCUUAAUGUUCUUCUGCUCUGUGCUCUGCACUUGCAUAGUCUCUAAUGAUUCUUCCAUGUAGCUCCUUAUGUUCUUCCACUCUGUGUUCUGCGCUUGUGUAGUCUCUAAUGAUUCUUUCAUGUAGCUCUCAAUGAUUCCCCUGCCUCAUGUUCUGUGCUUGUGUAGCUUCUAAUGAUUCUUAUGUGUACCUCUUAAUGUUCUUCUGCUCCGCGCUCCACUGUGGAGCAGCUUCUGAUAUUCUUCCACCCUGAACUUUCCUCUAUAAGAACCCCC
rnacentral:sRNA from 1 species